rnacentral:rRNA from 1 species
AUUGAACGCUGGCGGCAGGCCUAACACAUGCAAGUCGAACGAGCGGCGGACGGGUGUGUAAUGUCUGGGAAACUGCCUGCUGGAGGGGGAUAACUACUGGAAACGGUAGCUAAUACCGCAUACCAUCGGAUGUCCCCAGAUGGGAUUCGCUAGUAGGUGGGGUAACGGCUCACCUAGGCGACGAUCCCUAGCUGGUCUGAGAGGAUGAUCAGCCACAUGGGAACUGAGACACGGUCCAGACUCCUACGGGAGGCAGCAGUGGGGAAUAUUGCACAAUGGGCGCAAGCAUGAUGCAGCCAUGCCGCGUGUAUGAAGAAGGCCUUCGGGUUGUAAAGUACUUUCAGCGGGGAGGCGUUACCCGCAGAAGAAGCACCGGCUAACUCCGUGCCAGCAGCCGCGGUAAUUC